CUGCUACAAGAUUUCACAAAGGCAGGAAUCAGCUGAACCCCAAGGACAGGGUUGGCUCCUUUUCUCCCUCUGUCCAUCUCCUCCCUGCACCAUGGCCCUGUGCGCUCUGCCUCUCUGUCUCCUGGGGCUGUUCCUGGCAGGUUCUUGUGCCCAGCACGUGGUGACACAGCCGCCCUCAGUGUCGGGGUCUCCAGGGCAGACAGUGAAACUCUCGUGCAGCGUCAGUGGAGGAUACAGCAUCAGUAGCAAUGGAAUGUGGUGGUAUCAACAGACCCCUGGGAAUCCUCCCAGAUACCUGCUCUAUUAUUACAGUGAUUCUAGCACAAGCAGGGGCACUGGGGUCCCGGACCGGUUCUCUGGCUCUGGCUCUGGCAGUGUUGGCUACUUAACCAUCUCUGGGCUCCAAGCCGAGGAUGACGCUGAUUAUUACUGUCUGACGUGGGACAACAGCGCUAAGAUGCUCACAGUGGUCUUCGGGGGAGAGACCCCAACUGUCCAAAGAUCAUGA